ACAUCGCCUGGAAAAAAAUACAUACAAAUGGCGAAACACUUCACGGAAGUAACUGAGUAUUCCUUUCGACAGCUUAUUUAUUUUACGACAGUAAAUUUACCAUUUAAAUACAGUUAUAUCUAUUAUGUCGCGUGCACUAUAAUGAUAAUAGUAAGCCAGGAUAGUUCAAUUGUACAUCACUGCAUUACUAUAUAUUUAAUAAAAGUUUCAGAUCUGUUUUAGCUCGCAGAAUUGUGAAGGCGUACUGAAAUACGUUUUAUCAUGUUUAAUACGUUAUCAGGCCGCGAUUAGAUCUCACCAAUAUUGAUAUAUGCCUUCGGAGAUACCUGAUUCAUAUCACUAACUCACCGACAUUCUUUUUCCUAUACUAUAAAACAUUCCGUACAUUUCAAGUUCGCAUGGAUAGAAUGGGCACAAUAUAUCGUAUAAUAACGUCCUUAAAUUAUCAACAUUUCUAAUUGUAAGUUAAAAACUUGCUAAUUUAGAAUAAUUGUUGUUUGAAAUACGUAUUUCAAGUGUUCAAUCUCGGAAGUCGAAAUGAUGGGUCUUUUAUGUUCAUUAACCCUCGCAGCGGUGUCACCGCACCGGUACAGUUAACGAUGCCUCCUCCGACAGAAAGAGUGCCGCUAUACGCUUACUACAUUCAUUCAGAAAGUAUUUCACUGGCUGCGCUCGUGCAUCCAGAUGAACAGGCAAAAUGUAUUCAUACAGAUCCAAGGUUCGUUACUCUGUAAGUCAAAGACCUUGUGUAUCAUGGCAAAACGAAAACACAAAGAUAACGCGACCGAAAUAGAAAGGCACAAUAUGCGAUUAUACCGUCCAAUUAGUAUUUAGUAUAGUAGAUUAGUAUACAUUUGCUGUUAGGAACGGUGAACGGUUUAAAUAUUCAUAAUGUAAUCAGUGGCCACAAAACCACUUUUUCGUGAAGCUGACCCUCAAUCAUUGAAUUUUUAAUUGAAACGACACGAGUUAUUAUUAAAUAAAUAUAAAUCCGUGCGUCUAAUGAACGUUCUCGAUUUUAUUAAAGAUGUUUGAGUUGUGAGAGGAAAAUGGUAAUAGAAUUUCAAGUUAUUCGUGUCAGUUAUCUCAGGUAUUCGUGUCGGCAAGCUCUAAUUCACAGAACUGCAUAUUUGAAAAGUAGUUUUCCUUAUAAAUGUUUAUAGUACGAUUAAGAAAAAUAUGAAAGUGGAUCUUUGUCAAAAGUUGAAGACAA